UGUCACAGUACUUCCAGCAGGAUCUGGGCAUAACACACAUCUACAGUCUCCAGUGGCAUCACAAGGGGGGGUGCAGCCCGCACCUGGCUGUCACCGACCAAUAGGUAACACCAAAAUGCCGGCUCCUGCAAUGUAACAUUAUAUGCAGCACACGGCUCCUGUCACUGUGUAGGAGCCGGCACUGCAGCCACAGCACUUCCCGGUGGCAGCCCGCAUCUAUCGAACCCCCAGAGUGAUGAAAAUGUGGGUUGGGACAUGAAGCCCUGCCCCUUUCCCAUGAUGCCACAUCAAGUGUCACCUAGAAGAAAGGAAAAAGGCCCACAUGGAUGUACAGGUCUCAUACAGUACUGAGAGGAAAAAAACUCUGUGUAAAGAAGAAAAAAUAAAGACGUCCCAAAAAGCACAAUAGUAAAGAUGAAAAGGUAAUGCUAAGGAUAGUCAAGUAAUAAAAUCAAAUGCUGAUAAGUGAAAUAGAUGAGAGGGAACAGAGAGAUGGAGUAAGAGCGGGAGAGAGAGGAGAAAAAUAAGGACAAACAAACAGCCCUUUACAGUGCAGUAAAAAUACCCUACUGUUAGAGAACUCCAACACAAUGGCAAGGCACCAGGACACAGGAACAUACAGGCAGACUGGGGACUAAAGGUCAGUACAAAGGUUCAUCUAACAAACCUUUCAUGCCAAGUACCAUAUAGGAGACUAAGCAUUCACUGCAACUGGAAGCUCUACCUUCAUUAUACAGUAGGAAAGAAUUGAUAGUAUAUUCUGCAAAGCUGAAAUUGUCAUAUUUGAGGAUACUAAUGUCUAACACAAGGAAGCAAAGCACAGACAAAAAAAGAUUUCAAGUUAAUGGAGUGAAGUGAAAACAAAUAUGUGUGGCAAAUAGAAGAAAAUAAAUGGAGGUAUACAGUCUGAAAAUAAAGGAAAUAAACAUUGCAAAA